GAUGAACGCUGGCGGCGUGCCUAAUACAUGCAAGUCGAGCGAACAGACGAGGAGCUUGCUCCUCUGACGUUAGCGGCGGACGGGUGAGUAACACGUGGAUAACCUACCUAUAAGACUGGGAUAACUUCGGGAAACCGGAGCUAAUACCGGAUAAUAUAUUGAACCGCAUGGUUCAAUAGUGAAAGACGGUUUUGCUGUCACUUAUAGAUGGAUCCGCGCCGCAUUAGCUAGUUGGUAAGGUAACGGCUUACCAAGGCUACGAUGCGUAGCCGACGUGAGCGGGUGAUCGGCCACACUGGAACAGAGACACGGUCCUGACUCCUACGGGGGGGAGCGGUAGGAGAUCUUCCGCAAUGGGCGAAAGCCUGACGGAGCAACGCCGCGUGAGUGAUGAAGGUCUUCGGAUCGUAAGACUCUGUUAUUAGGGAAGAACAAAUGUGUAAGUAACUAUGCACGUCUUGACGGUACCUAGUCAGAAAGCCACGGCUAACUACGUG
rnacentral:rRNA from 1 species